rnacentral:rRNA from 1 species
GACGAACGCUGGCGGCGUGCCUAAUACAUGCAAGUCGAACGGAAAGGCCCUGCUCUUGUGGGUCGCUCGAUUGCCGAACGGGUGUGUAACACGUGAGUAUCCUGCCCUUGACUUUGGGAUAACUUCUGGAAACUCGGGCUCAUAUCCGAUAUGAUCUCCUGCUGCAUGUUGGUGGAUGGAAAGUUUCGGCGGUUGGGGAUGGACUCGCGGCUUACCCGCUUGUUGGUGGGGUAGUGGCUUACCAAGGCUUUGACGGGUAGCCGGCCUGAGAGGGUGACCGGCCACAAUGGGACUGAGAGACGGCCCAGACUGGUACGGGAGGCAGUAGGGGAGAAUAUUGCACAGUGAGCGGGAGUCUGAGGCAGAAACGCCGGGAGCGGGAUGACGGCCUACGGGUUGUAAACAGAUGUCGCCGGUGACGAAGAGUGAGUGACGGUAAUGGGUAAAGAAGCACCGGCUAACUACGUG